GGCAGCGGUUCAUUCUGCAGCCUCCGCCCCAAUGGGAAGGGAAGAUGAUUCUUUCUCUGGGCUUUAGCCUUUUGCUUCUCUACCAGGGCGUGCAGUGUGUCACAGUGACCCAGAGCCCCUCGGAACAGACGGUGGCGAGUGGCCGGGAGACGAUCCUGCUGUGCACCUAUGACGUUGACUUCUCCAAUCCAGAUUUGUACUGGUACCGAAGAAGGCCAGAUGGCUCCUUUCAGUUCAUCCUGUACAGGGAUGAUAGCAGAUCUCAAGACGCAGAUUUUGUUCGAGGUCGAUUUUCUGUGAAGCGCAGUCAGACCCAGAAAACCUUCCACCUGGUGAUCUCCCCCGUGAGGCCUGAAGACAGUGCUGUUUAUUUCUGUGCAGUGAAGUGA